AGGGCCGUAGGUUCAAUUCCUACCAGAGGACCUUGUGCUGCAUUUUCGCAGUCGUUCCUGGUCAGGUCUUAAAAUGUAUAUAUUCUCACUUGGAUUACAAACCCUAACAUUCUAAUAUUUAAUAAAGUUGAGACAAAGGAUUUGUGCACGGUGAGAUACAGUUCACCAUCUUCUAUUUUGUAGUUUUGAAGUUUGCCAGGCUUCCAGACCAUCAUAUCUUGACAGACUAUGGUUAUGCUAUUCAAUGGUCAACUUUAGAAAGUUCGCUAACCGGCCUUCGUAUCAGCCUGAGCAGCUUUAUUGCAAGCAAUAUUCUGACAAAAUACAGAACAGAUAUAAAUAUAGCUAUGUUAUCAUCACAUUGUAUACAAUCACACUAUAGGCAUGCAUACUUGUUAGUACUGACAACCUCUAAAUUAUCUUUAUAUAAUGGUCCAAUUAGUCUGUAUUUACCUCAAUUAUGUGUACCCUCAGUCAUGGGGUCACACCCCCGUAUACCAGUGCCUUCCAUCCCACCACUGUAGAUAUCUUUAUAAAGCUCGUCAAGCGCGAUCUCUGGGUCUGUCUUAGAACGUUCAACAGCUUCUUCAAUCUCACUUUUGACUUCCUGAUCAAUUGCCU